rnacentral:rRNA from 1 species
AGCAGCCGCGGUAAUUCCAGCUCCAAUAGCGUAUAUUAAAGUUGUUGCAGUUAAAAAGCUCGUAGUUGAAUUUCGGAAUCAAUAUAUCGGUCGUGCCUUGGUACGUACUGGUAUCAUUGGUUUCUCCUUUCUGACGAACCAUGAUGUCAUUAAUUUGGUGUUAUGGGAAGUUAGGACUGUUACUUUGAAAAAUUAGAGUGUUUAAAGCAGGCUUUAGCUUGAAUACAUUAGCAUGGAAUAAUGAAAUAGGACGUUCGAACCUAUUUUGUUGGUUUCUAGGAUCAACGUAAUGAUUAAUAGGGAUAGUUGGGGGCAUUAGUAUUCAAUUGUCAGAGGUGAAAUUCUUGGAUUUAUUGAAGACUAACUACUGCGAAAGCAUUUGCCAAGGAUGUUUUCAUUAAUCAAGAACGAAAGUUAGGGGAUCGAAGACGAUCAGAUACCGUCGUAGUCUUAACCAUAAAUUAUGCCGACUAGGGAUCGGAUGAUGUUAAUUUUUUAAUGACUCA